rnacentral:rRNA from 1 species
UACGUAGGGCGCAAGCGUUGUCCGGAAUUAUUGGGCGUAAAGAGCUCGUAGGCGGCCUGUUGCGUCCGCUGUGAAAUCCCGGGGCUUAACCCCGGGCGUGCAGUGGAUACGGGCGGGCUGGAGGCAGGCAGGGGAGAACGGAAUUCCUGGUGUAGCGGUGAAAUGCGCAGAUAUCGGGAGGAACACCGGUGGCGAAGGCGGUUCUCUGGGCCUUACCUGACGCUGAGGAGCGAAAGCGUGGGGAGCGAACAGG